AUUUAGGCAUAUUAGUUACGGAUAUUCGUAAUGCUUUCUCAGAUAAAAAGUCAGUAGUUGCUGCUUUUUUGGAUAUUAAUUCGGCUUAUGAUAACGUUCUAUUACAUAUUCUAAAAAGUAAAUUAGAUAAAUUAAAGGUUCCCUAUUUUUUAACUAAUUCCAUUGUAAAUCUUCUUUCGGAGAGGAAAAUUAUUUUAGAUGUUGGCGGCCCUUAUAAGCCUAGUAGGCUGGUAUGGAGAGGUUUGCCACAGGGGUCUGUUCUGAGUCCUUUAUUGUACAAUAUUUAUACAUAUGAUCUAGAAGGUUCAGUCGGAGAUUCAGCAAGUUUAUUACAGUAUGCCGAUGACUUGGUUAUUUAUGCCUCUGAUAUGUCUGUAAGUACUGCUGAACGAUAUGUUUCCUCCUCUUUAUCUUUGCUAAAAAUCUGGAUGGAUGCAAAUGGCCUUGAUCUGUCUCCCUCAAAAAGUACUGUUGUACUUUUCACCAAAUCCCGUACUCCUUGCUCACUUAAUAUAACAUAUGAUGGGAAUAUAUUACCCAUUAGGAAUCAAGUUAAGUUCUUAGGAGCUAUUCUUGAUUCUAAACUAACGGGUCAACCACACUGCGAAUUUGUGGUUAGUAAAUGUGAGCGAAACUUGAACAUGCUGAGAUGUCUCGGUGGGGUUUGGUGGGGUGCUCACCCGGCUACACUGAGGUUGGUGUAUAAUGCUGUCAUUAGAAGUGUACUGGAUUUUGGGACCUUUUUCUUAGACCCAGGUAAUGUGGCUGGCUUUAGAAAACUAGAUCUCAUACAGUCUAGGGCUUUGAGGAUUGUUUCUGGUGCCAUGAAAUCGAGUCCGGUUAAUGCUCUGCAAAUAGAAUGUUGUGACCCUCCUUUAAACUUAAGACGUCAAUAUCUGUCCGAUAGAUUCAUUUUUAGAAUUGUUCAGUUCCAUAAUCAUCCCCUCAUUUCGAAACUAGAGUUUCUUUCUAAAAAAGUACCCUCUUCACAUAAACCUUUACCUUGUCUGUUAAAAAGUUUCCUGAAAUUCAAACAAUUACAAGCCCCAACUCAUUCUUUUCAGGUGCUUCCUUUAUUUGGCGCUUCUUAUGAUUCUCUCUUACUUUCUCCAGUGAUUUGCUUUUCUCUUGGCAUUGAAAAAUCUGAUUUUAAUGCCAAUGAAAAUUUUAAUUGCAAUGCCAAUAGUAAAUGGCCUAACUGGCAUCAAAUUUAUACAGAUGCAUCUAAACACUCCAGUGGGUGUGUUGGUGUUGGAGUGUAUCACAAACAGUACAACAUAGUUCAGAAAAUUAAAUUACCUCCGGAAUCAUCGGUCUUUACCGGUGAAUGUUUUGGACUAUUAAAAGCUCUUGAAUAUGUGCUGUCUUUCAAACUAAAAAAAACCGUUGUAUUUACUGAUUCCUUAAGUGCAUUACAGAGCUUAGCAAAAUUUUCACUUAAACUUAACCCUUUUUUUCAUGUAAUAUUUGAAUGUAAGAGAAAGCUGUUGCACUGCCAAUCACACAACUAUUUAGUAUCAUUUUGUUGGGUACCUAGUCACUGUGGCAUAUCUGGAAAUGUGAAAGCUGACAGUUUGGCCAACAGUGCUACUGUGACCGGUGACGUAUACCCGUACAAGAAUUUUGGCCAUGAUCUUGCUGCUUUGCCCGGCAUAUGCCUCCACAAAUCGUGGAAUAUGUGUUGGGAAGAGAGCGGCCGGAUUAAGGGUCGUUUCUUGUAUGCUAUACAGUCUUCCGUUCCCAGGAAGCCAUGGUUUGCCAAAUUGUCGUUUGGUAAAACCGCCACUUCUACUAUAAUUCGUAUGCGUCUGGGACAUAAUAGCCUUCCAGUUCAUUUGCACAAACUUGGUAUCGUAACUAGUACCGCCUGUGAGUGUGGCGAGAGUUAUUGUGACCUGAAUCAUAUUUUCUUUUCUUGUUCUUUAUAUGAUCAUUCUUCCUUAUAUACUUCUUUAGUAUCUCUCUCUGUUCCCCUUCCUACUAAUAUUUCUUUACUUCUUCGAGAUUUUAAUCCCCUUGUAUAUAGUAUUUUAAGUAGGUUUAUUUUAAAUAAUAACAUUAAACUAUAAUUUUGAUUUAUUUUCCCUGUUAUAUAAUUAUUCUGAUUUUUUUUUGUAAAUUCAAUUCGUUCUAAAUCAUUUAUGUUUUGUUGCGAUAAGUUUCCUUCGUUUUUUAUUAUUUAUAAACUGUAAAUAAAUAAAACGGCGAAUUAUAAAAACGUUAUUACUUGACGCUGGCUAAUGCACAAAACGUGCCAGAGCCAAAAAUAAAGAAGAAGAAGAAGACCUCGGCUGAAUUCCAAAUCGCGGAAUAAUUUAACAAAAUUAAAUUGAGAAUAUUAUGCAGAUUAGAAAAGUUCAAGCAUAUCUCAACUCACGGUAGCUUAAGAAUGAUGUUUAGAUUGAAGUUCAUUCGGUCUUUGAUGAAUACGAAAAUGUCAAAAACACCGAAUUUUGUUCGUGCAAAUCACAAUGAUAGAUUAAAAGGAAAA